rnacentral:tRNA from 2 species
CCGACUCCAGGAGGACCUUCCCGUGCCUGAUACGCAGGGAGUUGAUGAACGGUUCGAUCCCGCUGGAAUCGGU